rnacentral:rRNA from 1 species
ACGCUCGACACCUACGGGAGGCAGCAGUGGGGAAUAUUGCACAAUAGGGGGAAACCCUGAUGCAGCGACGCCGCGUGGAGGAAGAAGGUCUUCGGAUUGUAAACUCCUGUUGUUGGGGAAAAAGAGGAUGGUACCCAACAAGGAAGUGACGGCUAACUACGUGCAAGCAGCCGCGGUAAUCUGAGGCGGGCUGGACGAAGGC